GUGAGGUGGAGCGAAUCNCAAAACUACGGUCUCAGUUCAGAUUGCAGGCUGCAACUCGCCUGCAUGAAGUUGGAAUUGCUAGUAAUCGCGAAUCAGAAUGUCGCGGUGAAUACGUUCCCGGGCCUUGUACACACCGCCCGUCACACCAUGGGAGUCGGGAAUGCCCGAAGUCAGUGGCCCAACCGGAAGGGGGGAGCUGCCGAAGGCAGGCCCGGUGACUGGGGUGAAGUCGUAACAAGGUAUC
rnacentral:rRNA from 1 species